rnacentral:rRNA from 1 species
AGAAUCAACGCUGGCGGCGUGCCUAACACAUGCAAGUCGAACGAGAAAGUGGAGCAAUCCAUGAGUAAAGUGGCGCACGGGUGAGUAACACGUGGCUAACCUACCCUUGAGUGGGGGAUAACCUAGGGAAACCUGGGCUAAUACCGCAUAAUACCUUCGGGUCAAAGGAGCAAUUCGCUUUAGGAGGGGGUCGCGGCCGAUUAGUUAGUUGGCGGGGUAAUGGCCCACCAAGACUUUGAUCGAUAU